CAAAGCUGACCACAACAGCCACUACGACUGAGUCCACUGGAUCCACGGCCACCCCGUCCUCCACCCCAGGGACCACCUGGAUCCUCACAGAGCCGAGCACUACAGCCACCGUGACGGUGCCCACCGGAUCCACGGCCACCGCCUCCUCCACCCAGGCAACUGCUGGCACCCCACAUGUGAGCACCACGGCCACGACACCCACAGUCACCAGCUCCAAAGCCACUCCCUUCUCCAGUCCAGGGACUGCAACCGCCCUUCCAGCACUGAGAAGCACAGCCACCACACCCACAGCUACCAGCUUUACAGCCAUCCCCUCCUCCUCCCUGGGCACCACCUGGACCCGCCUAUCACAGACCACCACACCCACGGCCACCAUGUCCACAGCCACACCCUCCUCCACUCCAGAGACUGCCCACACCUCCACAGUGCUUACCACCACGGCCACCACAACCAGGGCCACCGGCUCUGUGGCCACCCCCUCUUCCACCCCAGGAACAGCUCACACUACCAAAGUGCCGACUACCACAACCACGGGCUUCACAGUCACCCCCUCCUCCAGCCCAGGGACGGCACGCACGCCUCCAGUGUGGAUCAGCACAACCACCACACCCACAACCAGUGGCUCCACGGUGACCCCCUCCUCCGUCCCGGGGACCACCCACACCCCCACAGUGCUGACCACCACCACCACAACUGUGGCCACUGGUUCUAUGGCAACACCCUCCUCUAGCACACAGACCAGUGGUACUCCCCCAUCACUGAUCACCACGGCCACUACGAUCACGGCCACCGGCUCCACCACCAACCCCUCCUCAACUCCAGGGACAACACCUAUCCCCCCAGUGCUGACCACCACCGCCACCACACCUGCAGCCACCAGCAGCACAGUGACUCCCUCCUCUGCCCUAGGGACCACCCACACACCCCCAGUGCCGAACACCACGGCCACCACACACGGGCGAUCCCUGUCCCCCAGCAGUCCC
rnacentral:lncRNA from 1 species